UACGGAGGGUGCAAGCGUUAUCCGGAUUCACUGGGUGUAAAGGGCGCGUAGGCGGAUUGGUAAGUCAGUGGUGAAAUCUCCGGGCUUAACCCGGAAACUGCCAUUGAUACUAUCAGUCUUGAAUACCGUGGAGGUCAGUAGAAUAUGUCAUGUAGCGGUGAAAUGCUUAGAUAUGACAUAGAAUACCAAUUGCGAAGGCAGCUGGCUACACGAAUAUUGACACUCAGGCACGAAAGCGUGGGGAUCAAACAGG
rnacentral:rRNA from 1 species